CUGCUUGGGGCUCAGCAGUUAAGAGCACUGGCUGCUCUUCCAGAGGUCCUGAGUUCAAUUCUCAGCAACUACA
rnacentral:tRNA from 1 species